UACGUAGGGUGCAAGCGUUGUCCGGAAUUAUUGGGCGUAAAGAGCUCGUAGGCGGUUUGUUGCGUCGGCUGUGAAAUCCCGAGGCUCAACCUCGGGUCUGCAGUCGAUACGAGCAAACUAGAGUGUUGCAGGGGAGACUGGAAUUCCUGGUGUAGCGGUGAAAUGCGCAGAUAUCAGGAGGAACACCCGUGGCGAAGGCGGCUCUCUGGGACGGUAUUGACGCUGAGACGCGAAAGCGUGGGGAGCGAACAGG
rnacentral:rRNA from 1 species